rnacentral:rRNA from 1 species
UACGAAGGAUCCAAGCGUUGUCCGGAUUUACUGGGUUUAAAGGGAGCGUAGGCGGAACAUUAAGUCAGUGGUGAAAGCCUGGAGCUUAACUUCAGAAUUGCCAUUGAAACUGAUGUUCUCGAGUAUUGUUGAGGUUACUGGAAUGUUGCAUGUAGCGGUGAAAUGCUUAGAUAUGCAACAGAACACCAAUUGCGAAGGCAGGUAACUAAGCGAUAACUGACGCUGAGGCUCGAAAGCGUGGGGAGCAAACAGGAUUAGAUACCCUGGUAGUCCACGCCCUAAACUUUGAAUACUCGGUCUUGGCGAUAUACAGUCAGGGCCCAAGCGAAAGCGUUAAGUAUUCCACCUGGGAAGUACGUUCGCAAGAAUG